rnacentral:tRNA from 1 species
CAGAGAGUAGUUUAAUAAAAAUGCUAGUUUUGGGGGCUAGUGAUGGGGGAUAAAAUCCUUCCUUUCUGA